GACGAACGCUGGCGGCGUGCUUAACACAUGCAAGUCGAACGGAAAGGCCCUGCUUGCAGGGUACUCGAGUGGCGAACGGGUGAGUAACACGUGGGUGAUCUGCCCUGCACUUCGGGAUAAGCCUGGGAAACUGGGUCUAAUACCGGAUAGGAGCCAUUUUUAGUGUGAUGGUUGGAAAGUUUUUUCGGUGUAGGAUGAGCUCGCGGCCUAUCAGCUUGUUGGUGGGGUAAUGGCCUACCAAGGCGGCGACGGGUAGCCGGCCUGAGAGGGUGGACGGCCACAUUGGGACUGAGAUACGGCCCAGACUCCUACGGGAGGCAGCAGUGGGGAAUAUUGCACAAUGGGCGCAAGCCUGAUGCAGCGACGCCGCGUGGGGGAUGACGGCCUUCGGGUUGUAAACUCCUUUCGCUAGGGACGAAGCUUUUUGUGACGGUACCGAGAUAAGAAGCACCGGCUAACUACGU
rnacentral:rRNA from 1 species